AUCUAAUUAAAACAUAAGGAAUUGAUAGAUCAGAGGACACAUCCUCUUUUCUUUUCUUCCAUUGACAACCCCUCUCCUUCCGUUUCGUCUUCCAUUCUCCGUUUCGUCUUCCAUUCUGAACUCCUCUUCUAUAUUUUCAGACAACUUCAAUUAUAUUCCAGUUUUAGUCAAUCGGUUCCUCUUUCUCACCUUAUCUCCUCAACAAAACGUCUGCUGAACUUUUCCCGUUAUUAAAUCAUGUUUUGCAUUUACGAACGCAAGCAUUUGAAUGGUUCUCUCAGAAAUCAUGUUUCUUUAAUUUGUAUUGUAGAUUGGAAUUGUGUUCUUUUUUUUUUGUUGGAUUCGCCACACACCUCACCAGCUCCAAUGGCUUGAAUAGUAUUCUCUCUUCUUCUCUACUCAGUUGUUUUCUCCAUCUCUUUCUUUCUGUUCUCUUAUGGUUUUGUUUACAGAGCGUAUCAGCAUCCAGAUGAGCAACUUAGCAUAUAAUUGGGUUUAGCUCCAAGACGGAUCAAGAUUUGGUUUCAGAACCGAUGAACACAAACGAAGGUUUUCUACUUUUUACUUUCUCUCUUCCUCGCUGUCUUUUCUCCAAAAAAUAAAUUAAAGAGUAGUCCUUAGUUUUGCUUCUCCAUCGUUUCUUCUUGCAGGCUCAGCUCAAGAGAGCUGAUAAUUGUGCACUCAAGGAAGAGAAUUAUAGGAUUCGUUAUGAAAACGAUGCCAUUAGAGAAGCUCUCAAAUACGCCACCAAACUCUUACUUUGAUGAACAUAAGCUUUGAAUCGAAAAUGCUUAGAGAAGAGUGAUGUGAACAUGAUUUUCAAAUAUAGUUGGAUAAUAGCCAUCACAGCAGAGAUCAAGAUGGGACUCAAGUUAAGAAAGACAACAACGGAUGCGGUGGUGGAAAUUCUUGUGGUACCGUGUUCACGCGGUGGUUUGUGGCGAGGUGAGGAGACAAGAGGGAUGAGAAGGGAGAUUGAGCCUGUUGUCUAGAAGUAGAUUACUGCUAUCCGCACUAUCAGAAGUUCUCUGACAAUGUAAACCAGUACUGAUUUUGACUUUUCAAGGGUAUCUACAGGAGCAUCACUUCCUCUUUCUACUUGCUCUGCUAGCCAUCCUUCAAUCCCUUGAAGCACAUAAACAUCAACUCCAAGAGUGAAGAUAGCUUUUACAUUCUUUUGAAAAUAAGGUAGAAAGAUGAUGAUCAAAUUUUUAGUAUGCUAUUAGAAGUUAUAUUAUUAUUGUUUUUCUUUCUGAUUUUAGUUUGAUACAUGGCUUAUUAGAUUUUGGUUGUUAUAUAAUCUUUAUAAGUUCGUCUCUUACAUGGUUUAAAUUGUGGUAGAAGAAAGGAAGAACAAUUAUAUUUAAACAAGAUGAAGUCAGUCACCUUCCUCAUUUUAGCAUGAAUGAAUAUGCCCACUAUAGUAAAAAUUUAAUGUUAUAUACAUAUUUCAUGUAAAGUUGGAGGUUGGAUGACCGAGAUGUGAGCAGACGGUUUAUGAAAAAACAAAAGACACAAGAGUGACUAAACUAUUAGGAAGUACUUAAUUAACAUACUUAAGAACACUUGAGUAAGCAUAAAAAUAAAACAUAUGUUAAUGCUUUGCUCUUCAAGGUUGAGGACAAUAAACAUAAAAACAAGAAGCAUUUGUAAAAAUGAUGAUCUGAUGAUCAUGCAAGCCUAUUUCGUAUAUGAGAAAAAACUCCAGUUAUAUAUCAUGUAUUAGCAUGUGAUAUACAAAGACAACUACAAUGCAAAAUUUUAUACUUUGUUAGUAAUUAUUUUGAUCACCAACCCAUUCUGAGAAAAUAGCAUUGUUAUACAAAUAAAAUUAUGACAUUAUCCAAAUUAAUUAUAUAUAUAAUGCAAAUACAUCAACUUAGAUGGAGAGGAACGAAAGAAAUCAAAAGAUCAAAUGUCCUAAUACCCUUAAAAGUUAUAAAUUUAACGGGUCUCAAGCCAAAAAAAAUAACAAAAAAAAAUUUAAAACGACUGUUAAUUUAAAAUUUAUUUACCUAAACUUAAAUAAAUGCGGUAAUAAAUAUAUCCAGAUUAAACUAAGCUUAAAUCAUUUUAAUAUUCUUAUAAUAGUAAAAUAACAAAUUUUGAGUAGUACAAAUUUAAAAUUUGCUAGACCAAAAAUUAAUAAAAUAAAAAGUCUAAUUUUAAAUUCUUUUUAGUAAUUUAGAUUUUAAUAAUAAAUGUAAAUAUAUAAAUAAUAUUGAAAUAAAGUAAAAUGAUAGAAUUAAAACUAAAUAUAACAGAAAGGAGGAUAUAAGCGUUAGAUAGAGUGUCCACGUAGGCGAAAAUAAUGGGCCAAUGAAAAACUAUAUUUUUACCAUAUCACCUCCUCUAUUUGUUUUUUCAAAAUGAUCCUUUAACUUUUUACUAAAACAAUUAUAACCGAAAAUAUUUUUUUGUGAAAUAUAUUAUUUAUAUAAAUAUAAUUAUAUUUUUAAUUUACAUAAUAUUAUGUAAAGAAAUAUUUAAUGUAAAUAAUAUCAUAAUUUUAUAAAAUACUAAAAUAAAUUGGGUUGGUUUUCAACUUUCACAAAUAAAAAGUAUUAUUUGUAAACUUAGAAAAGAAUAUAUCAAGAAUAUUAUUUUCAGGAGAAAAAAGAGAAAAAUAUAUCGAAGAAAAAUUCAUCUCUAUUAUGAAAAAAUAGAGGAAUACAUUGGAGAUGGUCUAAGGCAUGGCUGAUGUAAAUGAUCGACAUUGAGAUUUCAACUUUUCUGAUUCUUACUGUUCUAAUGUUUCAAUAUAAUUUGAAUAUUCCCUUUGCUUUAUAAUAUAAUAGUUUAAAAGUAAUUUUUGUUUCACUAUAUAAAUUAUUUUUAUAUUUCAAUGUAACUUUAUACUUAUUGUAUAUUGUGUGGCCAACUAAAUUAUGUAAAUUACUGUGUAAUUGAUUAAAUUUAUAUAUUAAAUGACAGUUUUCUAAAGUAAUAAUUUUUCAAUAUUACAGAUUUUAAUUAAAACUAGAGGAUAUAAGCCUCAGAUAGAUGUCCACAUAGGUGAAAAUAAUCGGCCAAUGAGAAACUAUAUUUUUGCCAUGUCACCUCCUCAUUUUGUUUUUACAAAAUGAUCUUUUAGCUUUUUUACUUAAACAGUUAUAACCAAAUUUUUUUUUGUGAAAUAUAUUAUUUAUAAAAAUAUAAUUAUACUUUUUAUUUACAUAAUAUUUUGUAAAGAAAUAUUUAGUGUAAAAUAAUAUCAUAAUUUUAUAAAAUACUAAAAUAAAUUGGGUUGGUUUUCAACUUUCACAAAUAAAAAGUAUUAUUGUAAACUUAGAAAAUAAUAUAUCAACAAUAUUCUUUUUCAGGAGAGAAAAUAGAAAAUACAUCGGAGACAAAUUCAUCUCUAUUAUAAAAUUCCUCUAUUUUAGAGAAAAAAUAGAGGAAUACAUUGGAGAUGGUCUAAGGCAUGGCUGAUGUAAAUGAUCGACGUUGAGAUUUCAACUUUUCUGAUUCUUAUUGUUUUAAUGUUUUAAUAUAAUUUGAAUAUUCCCUUUGUUUUUUAAUAUAGUGGUUUAAAAAUAUAUUUUGUUUCACUAUAUAAAUUGUUUUUAUAUUUCAAUGUAACUUUAUAUUUAUUAGAUAUUGCGUGGCCAAUUAAAUUAUGUAAAUUAUUGUGUAAUUGAUUAAAUUUAUAUAUUAAAUGAUAGUUUUCUAAAGUAAUAACUUUUAAAUAUUACAGAUUUAAAUUAAAACUGAUUACAUUUUGAAACAGAUAGAGUAAUCUAUAAACUAACUCUAUAUAGAUAUGAGGAUAAAAUUGUAAAGUGGUCUCACCUUGAAUUUCUCUUAUUUUGUGCAUUACUAAUUCGAAUGAGAUAAUCAACAUCUAAUAUUAUCUUACUCUCAGUAUAUUAGAAAUGGUCGAACCGUAAACCAAUUAAGGGUGAUGUAAGGAAGACGUAAAUAUGUAUUUUCAGUUAUCACAAAUAUAGAAUCAAUUGACAACAAUUUAAUUAUGUCUACCAUAUGACAACAUAGAGAGUUUACAUACCUUCUAAUAUUAUAAUAUUUCACAAUAUUAGUGGCUAAAUCAGUUUUCUCUAGCACAAAUACUCACUUCAUUCUUGAAGUUUAAGCUUUUCUAUCUGAUGAUAUUAGUAGUUUGAUCCAAAAAAAAACGGUUGAACUGUACAUUGUAACUGGAGAAAGAAAACAAACAAAAAUCAACCGAAGACGUUUAAGGUAUAUGAAACAAAAAUUGGAAAUAACAAUUCUCUGCAAUUAAAGAAUAAGGCAAUAAAAUUGUAAACAUACAAAAUAAAACAAAAAAUAUAUACAAAAAGAAAGAUUUAGUAAAAUAAAAUCAUAAUAUAAUUUUCAUAAUUGAUAGUGCUCAGUUACACUAAAAUGUCUAAAUUUACAACAUACACAGUUUUAUUUACAUCUUUAAACUUAUUAUCUAAUUAAAAUGAUUCUAAAAAAAGGUGCCAGCAUGAAGAGUUAGAAAAUAUCCGAUAAAAUAUAAAUCAUAACGUUAAAAAUACAUUAUCACUGAUCACUAAAAAAUCAUGUUAGUAGUAUAAAAAUGAAAUAACAACACAUUAAUUAAAACCAUAGAACAACACGCAACAAGGUAUUAUUAAAUAUACAAACUACAAAUUAAAUAUGCUCAACGCAAACACACAUAAAAAUGAGACAUCAUAAUAUUUAAAUAAAUUAUUUUAAAUAUAUUAUAUUAUUGAUAAUUUUAAAAUUACUUAAAAAGAAACUAAAUUAUUAAAAAA